GCCCCGGUAAACGGCGGCCGUAACUAUAACGGUCCUAAGGUAGCGAAAUUCCUUGUCGGGUAAGUUCCGACCUGCACGAAUGGCGUAAUGAUGGCCAGGCUGUCUCCACCCGAGACUCAGUGAAAUUGAACUCGCUGUGAAGAUGCAGUGUACCCGCGGCAAGACGGAAAGACCCCGUGAACCUUUACUAUAGCUUGACACUGAACAUUGAGCCUUGAUGUGUAGGAUAGGUGGGAGGCUUUGAAGUGUGGACGCCAGUCUGCAUGGAGCCGACCUUGAAAUACCACCCUUUAAUGUUUGAUGUUCUAACGUUGGCCCCUAAUCGGGGUUGCGGACAGUGUCUGGUGGGUAGUUUGACUGGGGCGGUCUCCUCCUAAAGAGUAACGGAGGAGCACGAAGGUUGGCUAAUCCUGGUCGGACAUCAGGAGGUUAGUGCAAUGGCAUAAGCCAGCUUGACUGCGAGCGUGACGGCGCGAGCAGGUGCGAAAGCAGGUCAUAGUGAUCCGGUGGUUCUGAAUGGAAGGGCCAUCGCUCAACGGAUAAAAGGUACUCCGGGGAUAACAGGCUGAUACCGCCCAAGAGUUCAUAUCGACGGCGGUGUUUGGCACCUCGAUGUCGGCUCAUCACAUCCUGGGGCUGAAGUAGGUCCCAAGGGUAUGGCUGUUCGCCAUUUAAAGUGGUACGCGAGCUGGGUUUAGAACGUCGUGAGACAGUUCGGUCCCUAUCUGCCGUGGGCGCUGGAGAACUGAGGGGGGCUGCUCCUAGUACGAGAGGACCGGAGUGGACGCAUCACUGGUGUUCGGGUUGUCAUGCCAAUGGCACUGCCCGGUAGCUAAAUGCGGAAGAGAUAAGUGCUGAAAGCAUCUAAGCACGAAACUUGCCCCGAGAUGAGUUCUCCCUGAGACUUAGAGUCUCCUGAAGGAACGUUGAAGACGACGACGUUGAUAGGCCGGGUGUGUAAGCGCAGCGAUGCGUUGAGCUAACCGGUACUAAUGAACCGUGAGGCUUAACCUU
rnacentral:rRNA from 1 species